rnacentral:rRNA from 1 species
UACAGAGGUCCCGAGCGUUGUUCGGAUUCACUGGGCGUAAAGGGUGCGUAGGUGGUGAGGUAAGUCGGAUGUGAAAUCUUCGAGCUUAACUCGGAAACUGCCAUUGAUACUAUUUAUCUUGAAUACUCUGGAGGUAAGCGGAAUAUGUCAUGUAGCGGUGAAAUGCUUAGAUAUGACAUAGAACACCAAUUGCGAAGGCAGCUUACUACAUAGUUAUUGACACUGAGGCACGAAAGCGUGGGGAUCAAACAGG